GAUGAACGCUGGCGGCGUGCCUAAUACAUGCAAGUCGAACGAGGUGCUUUUGUAGCAAUACGAGAGUAUCCUAGUGGCGAACGGGUGAGUAACGCGUGGAAGACCUGCCCCAAAGUGUGGGAUAACAGUCCGAAAGGAUUGCUAAUACCUCAUGUGGUUAUCGGUUUAGUAAAGCGAUAACUAAAGACAGCAAUGCGCUUUGGGAGGGGAUCUGCGUCCCAUCAGCUAGUUGGUGAGGUAACGGCUCACCAAGGCGACGACGGGUAGGGGACCGUGAGAGGGUGGCCCCCCACCAAUGGAACUGAAACACGGUCCAUACACCUACGGGUGGCAGCAGUAGGGAA
rnacentral:rRNA from 1 species